UGAAAAUGAAUUUCACCCUGGUCUGGAAAAAUUUAACAGACUUUGGACCAUUUACUGCAUGGAUACACAGUUGAAUGUGGUGGGAAAUAUUCUCCCCACAUAAAUUCAACCAAUGUGGAAGCUUAAAGACAAAUCCUUCAUUAAAAAUGACAAAAAGGAUAAAAACCAAGAAAUUCAGAUAUGGCUCAAGCAGCAUCUUGUGUACAGGUGGAAUGGAGGGAGUGUGCAGCAGUGGCAUGAAUGAUCAGCAGAGUGAGUAGAGUGUGAGCUGUCAGAUUAUAAAGGGCACUUCAUUGACUUAUUUGAGUAUGAUUGAUGACCUUCAAAGUCAGCUGAUUCAUCAGCCAAGCUGUCAGAUGGUGGGCUGAACAGCUGGUGGCAUGUUUGACUUCAGUCUUCUGCUUGAUGCUGAGUAUCUGACUGUUUGGAGAGUGUCAGUGUUUGGAGCAGUGUUUAUGUACAUCGCAACAGCAGCAGGAAACAUGUCAUGCUCUACAAAUGUAGCAUUUCUGUAUCAGGCCAAUCAGGAAUAAGAUGCGUCAUUAGUCCACUUCAUCAAAUUAGACAACAGGAGUAGUUGAGUAGUUGAAAGUUUUCAUCUGCAAUGACAUUGUCCUCGUUUAAGUUAUUCCUCCUGUUCAUACUGGCCAUCAGAAGAUCCCUUAAUAAUGAGAGAGAAGUGAAAGUACUCUUGUUUCAAACCAGUGUAACCCACAUGGAUUAGAGGGCUACAAAACCCAUAUAUGUAAUUACAUGUCCUUCCCACAAGGGGGCGCAUAUACAUUGUGCGCCUGUUAUGUUGAGGGAGGUACGUGCCCUCUUUGUUUUACCGCAGCAGCACUCCCAAACACAGCAGACGUGUGUGAGCAUGUAAACAACAGAAAAGCGAGCAAUUCCUGAGGUCCAACUGUGAGUGAGAGGGAAACAACUUCUGUCAAGUUAUUAAUGUUGAAAAACUCCGUUUGGUUUUUUUGUGACCAGAUAGAAUCAAAGAUGGUGAUCCCAGCCUGUGACCCUGUGGCCGGUUGGAGAAACGGUGUUUGCCAGACCGUAGGAACUGCUCACAGAGGACAUCUGAUUUAAAGUGAUACCCAUUUUCAUUGGGUUACAGAUAAGACACACACUAAUUAUCCCAUUAGGGUAGUCGUGAUAGUAGUGACAUUAGACGACGGAACAGAUACAACACUAAACAACUUUGAACUGAACUCUUGAGCUCUUUAACUAUAAUGAGUCCCUACGGAUUAAAGGGACAUUCAGUAAACCAAAGAACAUUUCAUUGGAGAAUUUCCACCUCCAUAACGGACUAUUUCUGAUUAUUUUCUUAUUUGAUUUAUUUAUUUUGUUUUUUAUUUUCCAUUCUUUAAAACUUAAAGUCUUGUGUAUUAUUGUGUAUGAGUCGAGGCAAUAACUGGUCACUGUUUAACCGUACAUUAAUUCAUUCCCUGAAUUAUUCAAGACAACUGCUCAUCGGACCUAGUUAGAUGUUAGUGUCUUACUACUAUUACUACUACUAUUGGUUAGCACUGAGGACGCUACACCAGUUUGACAGUUUUAUGACUUUAACCUCUGUCAGGCAGCCAAACUGUCUUCACCAGGCUGACUCAUGACGAAAAUUGUUUUAAUGUAGUCUCCAAGAAGUCAUUACAGAUACUGUUAAUAAGUUCAGAUCAUAUAAACAAUGGGAGAUUCAUAUGAUUUAAACAGGCCUCUGUGGAGAUUACUAAGCACACCAGAGGACAAAAAAAUUGGCUCAGAGUAUAAAAAAAGACAGAUUGAUAUCUUUUUUAUGAGUCGAGCAAGUGAUGGAUGUAAAGAAACACCUCCUGUGUGGAUUGCCCAUUAGAGUGGUACAUCUGGACUACAAUUUAUCUUAGCAGAA